rnacentral:rRNA from 1 species
CCUACGGGCGGCAGCAGUGGGGAAUAUUGGACAAUGGGCGAAAGCCUGAUCCAGCCAUGCCGCGUGUGUGAAGAAGGCCUUCGGGUUGUAAAGCACUUUCAGUGGGGAAGAAAGCCUUGGGGCUAAUACCCUCGAGGAAGGACAUCACCCACAGAAGAAGCACCGGCUAACUCCGUGCCAGCAGCCGCGGUAAUACGGAGGGUGCGAGCGUUAAUCGGAAUUACUGGGCGUAAAGCGCGCGUAGGCGGUCUGAUAAGCCGGUUGUGAAAGCCCCGGGCUCAACCUGGGAACGGCAUCCGGAACUGUCAGGCUAGAGUGCAGGAGAGGAAGGUAGAAUUCCCGGUGUAGCGGUGAAAUGCGUAGAGAUCGGGAGGAAUACCAGUGGCGAAGGCGGCCUUCUGGACUGACACUGACGCUGAGGUGCGAAAGCGUGGGUAGCAAACAGGAUUAGAUCCCUGGUAGUC